AAGUUUAUGGAUAAGCUACUAAGGGCUAACGGCGGAUGCCUUGGCAUCGGGAGGCGAUGAAGGACGUGGCAAGCUGCGAUAAGCUUCGGGGAGCCGUUAACAGGCUUUGAUCCGGAGAUUUCCGAAUGGGGAAACCCACUGGGAGUAAUAUCCCAUUAUCUUUAACUGAAUACAUAGGUUAAAGAGGCGAACGCGGGGAACUGAAACAUCUAAGUACCUGCAGGAAAAGAAAUCAAUUGAGAUUCCGUGAGUAGCGGCGAGCGAAAGCGGAAUAGCCCAAACCGGGUGAUUUAUCAUCCGGGGUUGUAGGACCCCAAUGUGGGAUUGAUGAUGGAUAGUAGAACGGUAUGGAAAGGCCGACCAUAGACGGUGAUAGUCCGGUAUACGAAAUCUUGAUUCACCCUAGGGUGUUCCUGAGUACCACGAGACACGUGAAACCUUGUGGGAAUCUGGGAGGACCAUCUUCCNNNNNNNNNNNNNNNNNNNNNNNNNNNCCGAUGACCGAUAGUGAACGAGUACCGUGAGGGAAAGGUGAAAAGAACCCCGGGAGGGGAGUGAAAUAGAAACUGAAACCGUUAGCUUACAAGCAGUCGGAGCACUAUGUGCUUGCACAGUGUGACCGCGUGCCUUUUGCAUAAUGAGUCAACGACUUACCCUGUGCAGCGAGGUUAAGCCGCGAGGUGGAGCCGUAGCGAAAGCGAGUCUUAACUGGGCGAAUUAGUUGCAUGGGGUAGAC
rnacentral:rRNA from 2 species